ACGCUCGACACCUACAGGAGGCAGCAGUGAGGAAUAUUGGUCAAUGGGCGCUAGCCUGAACCAGCCAAGUAGCGUGAAGGAUGAAGGCUCUAUGGGUCGUAAACUUCUUUUAUAUAAGAAUAAAGUGCAGUAUGUAUACUGUUUUGUAUGUAUUAUAUGAAUAAGGAUCGGCUAACUCCGUGCCCGCAGCCGCGGUAAUCUGAGCGGGCUGGCAAGGC
rnacentral:rRNA from 1 species